rnacentral:miRNA from 1 species
UCAUUUUGUUUCUUUCU